UUUAAUUUGACUUGGUGAAGUCAGUGGGAGGAUUGAAAUUGGCUGGAUAUUUUUUUUCUCAUUUAUCCUUUAAUAAAAUCCUCAAAAAUUAUUAGGUCCCUAAAAAUGAUUAAGUUAUAUUGAUAACUAAGUCAUAGCCUCCCAUUAAGUGAGUGAUAAUGAGUCCAUUAGUUUAAUAAUCAUUGGAGGCCCAAAGGCCUGGUGCUUAUUGACUAAUGGAAUUAUCAUUCAUAAUAUGAUAAUUUAGUUUGAGUCUUUCUGAUGGUGGUCAGGUUGGCCGGCCAAAGUC
rnacentral:lncRNA from 1 species